CUAGGGAAGCAUUCUUUUUUGCUCAUCGUGAUUUCUGUGUGAUUCCUCCUGUUUUCUGAGCCUGUCACCCCCUUCCUCUUCCCUUGCCUCUCCACUGGGACUUUCCAGAGUGCAGCCACCUCCCCUCGCUGUGCUUCUGUGACUCUGAGGCCCAGGAGGAAGUUGCCCUGUUCUGGAGAGGGUUCACGUUUGAUCCAGCCUAGUGUUCUGGGGCACGGCCAGUCUGGGACCGCUUUGACCCUCAUUCACGGUUUCCCUUCAGAUACUUCUUGUUUGGCCUGCCUUCCUCGUCUAGGAAAUGGAUUUUUCUCAUUUUUCUAUUGAGUCACUUGUUUUGUUGGUAUGGAGUUGUAGGAGGUGUUUCUGAAUUCUGCCUCAAACCCCAUGUUGGUUUUUUGUAUUUCAGAGACCUCGUCCGCUCAGGGGCUUGUUCUUCGUCUCUUUGCAGGGCUGUUUUGGACUCAGUAUUCACCUAAGCACUCCGAAUUAGGAUUCCCGCGCUGGAUCUCUGAGGGACGCUGGCGCCCUCUCUCCAGCACGUUCCUGAUGCCCUUGCUGACGCAUGUGUCCUCUGGGCCCUCUCCUGAAACGUCAUCCUCCAGGGUGUCUUCUGGCCUCACCUCUUCUGUCCAGUUCCAGCAAGCUCACUUUGCUUAG
rnacentral:lncRNA from 1 species